AGAGGGGAAUAACCCGGCGAAAGUCGGACUAAUACCGCAGUAAAACAGGGGGCACCGCAAUGGUGAUAUUUGGUUAAAGAAAUUCGCUGAUAGAUGGGCAUGCGUUCCAUUAGGUAGUUGGUGAGGUAACGGCUCACCAAGCCGACGAUGGAUAGGGGAACUGAGAGGUUGGUCCCCCCACACUGGUACUGAGACACGGACCAGACUCCUACGGGAGGCAGCAGUGAGGAAUAUUGGUCAAUGGGCGGGGAGCCUGAACCAGCCAAGUCGCGUGAAGGAAGAAGGAUCUAUGGUUCGUAAACUUCUUUGCAGGGGAAUAAAGUGCAGGACGUGUCCUGUUUUGUAUGUACCCUGAGAAUAAGGAUCGGCUAACUCCGUGCCAGCAGCAGC
rnacentral:rRNA from 1 species